GCUCGCUAGCCCUCAGACUAGGCUCCUGCUGAGAGCGACCGCCCUCCCUGCGCCCAGCGCCGACCCGCCCGGCUCCCCGCGCCGGACCCAGCACCUCGGCUCCCCGGGGUCGGACCGAGGUCGCAAGCAGCGCCGCGGGGUGUGGGGCGGACCCAGGAGAUGAAAUGACAACGUCAACCCUCCAGAAAGCCAUUGAUCUGGUGACAAAAGCCACAGAAGAGGAUAAAGCCAAGAACUACGAGGAGGCACUCCGGCUCUACCAGCAUGCUGUGGAGUACUUCCUCCACGCUAUCAAGUAUGAGGCACACAGUGACAAAGCCAAGGAGAGCAUUCGAGCCAAGUGCGUGCAGUACCUAGACCGGGCAGAGAAGCUGAAGGAUUAUUUACGAAACAAAGAGAAACACGGCAAGAAGCCAGUCAAAGAGAAUCAAAGUGAGGGCAAGGGCAGUGAUAGUGACAGUGAAGGGGAUAAUCCAGAGAAAAAGAAAUUGCAAGAACAACUGAUGGGUGCUGUUGUGAUGGAGAAACCCAACAUACGAUGGAAUGACGUGGCUGGGCUGGAGGGGGCCAAGGAGGCUCUCAAAGAAGCUGUCAUUUUGCCAAUUAAAUUCCCACACUUGUUCACAGGCAAGCGUACCCCUUGGCGAGGGAUACUGCUUUUUGGACCCCCUGGCACAGGGAAAUCCUAUCUGGCCAAGGCUGUGGCAACAGAGGCCAACAACUCUACCUUCUUCUCUGUGUCCUCCUCAGAUUUGAUGUCUAAGUGGUUGGGGGAGAGUGAGAAGCUAGUCAAGAAUCUCUUUGAGCUAGCCAGGCAACACAAGCCCUCCAUCAUCUUCAUCGAUGAGGUGGAUUCUCUCUGUGGGUCCCGGAAUGAAAAUGAGAGCGAGGCUGCCCGAAGGAUCAAAACAGAGUUCUUGGUCCAAAUGCAGGGGGUGGGGAAUAACAAUGAUGGGACUCUGGUUCUCGGUGCCACAAACAUCCCCUGGGUGUUGGAUUCAGCUAUUAGAAGGAGGUUUGAAAAGCGCAUUUAUAUCCCACUGCCAGAAGAAGCUGCCCGUGCCCAGAUGUUCCGAUUGCAUCUUGGGAGCACUCCACACAACCUCACAGAUGCCAACAUCCAUGAGCUGGCCCGGAAGACAGAAGGCUACUCAGGUGCAGACAUCAGCAUCAUUGUGAGGGACUCCCUUAUGCAGCCUGUCAGGAAAGUGCAGUCAGCAACACACUUCAAGAAGGACAUCUUUAGAAAUCUGAGGUGUUUCUACUGUCCCUUAACAGUGAAGAACAGCUAUACCAGCCUGUCAAACUCCUGCUUGGUUUCAGGUCUGUGGUCCUUCCCGCACCAACCCUAGCAUUGUGAUUGAUGACCUCCUGACCCCAUGCUCUCCAGGGGACCCAGGGGCCAUAGAGAUGACUUGGAUGGAGGUUCCUAGUGACAAACUCUUAGAGCCUGUGGUUUCCAUGUCGGACAUGCUCCGGUCUUUGGCCACCACCCGGCCCACAGUGAAUGCAGAUGACCUCCUGAAAGUGAAGAAAUUCUCAGAGGACUUUGGACAGGAGAGUUAAAAGCUUCUUCACAUGGGUGAAGGUGAAGGUGGGAGGUUGAUUGGGGCACAUCUACGGUACUCCCUACACUGGUGGCCAGACAGGGCUCCAGGGCUCGUCCUAAAGUCACCACAGUGUCUCCUCUGCUGUCUGGCCGCCAGCCAGGGAGCAGGAAGAAAAAGGCCUCCACAGCAGAUGACGCUCCGCUGCGGUCUGGCACACAGUGGAUACUGGUUCUUCCUAGUUCUCUCUUCUGGAUGCUGACCAGUUCCUUUUCCUGACCCUCCAUGUCUUCUUUAUUUUUGUUUCCCUAAAUUAAUGCUGCUUUGAUUUGUCUUGUUUAUAAAGGUAAAAUCCCCUGGAAGUGUCAAGGAGUGGGAGUAGCCAGGCCCCAGUUACUUUUAUGGCCAAGUUUGGCUGAGAACAGACUGAUGAAGAGUAAGAAAAGCCAUUCCCACCCUCCUAGGUUUGCAUCCAGAGCCCUGUGUCUUCCUUGCAAGAGGAGGAGAUGGUUUCUGUGAGCACAAAGCUGUUUUGAUCAGGAGAGAAGGCAGGUGCAUCUUCACUGCUGCCUCCCCACCCCCCCAGCCCCACCCUCCUGAGUGUAAGAACACUGAACCCAGCCACUGCCCUGGGUCCCUGUCCUGGAGAUGGUCUAAUAAAUCCUUUUCCCUUCUUGA